CAUUUAUGUACACUAUAGUUUGGGGAUGGUAAGAUAAUGUAUGCUUUUAUGCUCACCAAGGCUGCAUUUACUGAGUGUGUUCACGGGGUGUGUGUGUGUUUUCACUACUGUGAGUGUGCACUUGGAUGGGUUAAAUGCAGAGCACAAAUUCUGAGUAUGGGUCACCAUACUUGGCCACCCAUCACUUCACUUUCACUUUAAUAAGAGAUGUAAGUAUCAAUUUUUGAUACUUUUUUAAAAUAAAUUUACUAUAAGUUUAGAAACCUUCUAUUUAAAAGUAGUAUCUAACUAAAAAUGACUAUUUUAUCCAAUAUUUGUCAGGGCCAUCUAUCUUCCUUUAAUUUGAUAGAUUAUAAGCAUUAUAAGCAGUACUUGAAUGUCACAAGCAGUUGCUGCCAAUGUCAGUCAAUCACAUAAUGCUGGCUAAGAAUGUGAUAGACAGCAAGUUAUCUGCUAUCAAUCCUUUAUUUUAAGCAACCAGCAUUCCCAAAAUCUAAAUAACUCCAGUGCCCUAAUGCUGUGAAGGGGCAAACCGACCUCCCCCAUUUCCACUGGAUUAAUUAAACUGGAACAGACACCUUUGGAAACAGCAUUAAUUAUUAUUUACAAUACAAAAAAACAAUGUGAUUGUGGGUCGCAGAGGCUUUCAUCUCUCCAGGAGGUGCCAGCCUCCCUCUCUAACCUCAACCCGGCUCUCAGGUAACAGUGCAUAAAAUGAGAUUUCUGAACGAAUGAGAGGAUGUGCCAGAACAUAUGCACCCUUUUAAUGAGGGAAACUGACUGAGUAAGUGGAACGAAAAAAGAAAAAAAAAAGAAAAAGAACUGACAUUCAUCUGUUUCGAAGCCAAACAAAAGACUGAGUUCUCUGUAUUGUUUUUCUUUUCUUUAUUUUAUUUGAAACAUUUCACCAAAGGAUGUCACCGCAAUAAUGUCUAUCCAAUAACAGGAAUGUUGUUUCAAAGAAUCAUAAAAGGUGAUGGGAGUGCAGUAAGUCCAGGGAGAAUGAGAGAGAGGGGAGAAGUUUUAAGCAUUUUAAUGGAAGACCUUAAUACCUAUGAUGAAGGUACAUUAUGCUUAUCCAAGCCAAGUCUAAUCUUCAAAGUAUCUGUGAAAGGUGAAGCGAACUUGAGUCAAGGUACUUUGGUUUUAAACUUGGAUGCUUAGUGAUUUCAUUUACAUUUAUCCAUUUAGCACAUGCUUUUAUCCAAAUGAAGACUAAGUGAUUCAUUAUAAGGAGGUGGUAACGUGAGACAUGCUGCAAUACAAAGUUACAAGACUGUUAAGAGAAGUACAGACUAGAAUACAUAAAACAUACAAUAAAACUAAAUGAUAUAUAAAAAGUUAUACAUCAAAAGUGACCGUAGAAAUAUUUAUGAUGUUACAAAUAAAUGCUGUUAUUUUGAACUUUCCAUUUAUCAAAGACAUAAAAUACUUCACAAUCGUCAGAUGUGUGAUUAGCUAAAGAUGAAAAAGUCACUAAACUUAGGUAAUACUUUUAGAUUAGAAAAUACAAAAAUCCUUAUAAAUAUGGAAAAACACAUCCCUGAUUCUUAUCAACCUCAAUUUUUUGAGUAUAUUAUGUAUAUCCAUAAAACAAACACGUUUACUUAAUCAUGUGCCCAACAAAGGCCUGUAACUUGCAGAGAGAGAGAGAGAGAGAGAGAGAGAGAGAGAGAGAAGAAGGAUAAGCUAAAUCAGGCUGGCUUGAUGACAUACUGACUCUGGGCUUUAUAAUCACUCCCCAGGAGACUGCACAACACUUACUAGUGUGACAGAGAGAGAGUUAUGAACACACUACCAUCCCACACACACAACCAGCACACAGAGAGUGUCAGAAGCGCACAAAAUAGAACCAUGUACAAUGGUGGAAGGCAAACAUACAAGCAAGCACACACACACACCACCAUCAUAAUCAUGUUGAUGUAUUUACAAGAGUAACACCAACAUAGGAAAGAGGAAAAACAUACUGCAAAGGCAAUCAAAUCUGCAGUAGUCAGUGAAGCAGGGUAUAUACACAUACACACAGCUGGAGACAUUUACACAUCCUCUAAACAGUGAGGAGGGUCUUUUCUCACAUCCCUGACUUCAUGUAGUUCAUUGUAACACGAUACAUUAUAUGAAAAACAAAGACAAAGAUACUUCUGGUACUGGAAUAAAAUCAGAGAAACCCUAUUUGAGCUCAUUAAAUUGAGAAGUCUCAUAACAUUGUCACUAGUGAGUUACUCCAAGUACACAAGACUCAUUAAAGGGAUAGUUCAUCCAAGAAUGAACAAUCUGUCAUCAUUUACUCGCCCUUAUAUCAUUACAAACCUAUAAGACUUUGGUUAAUCUCUGAAACACAAAAUAAGAUACUUUUAGAAGAUCCGAAAAGGUCAUAAAGGCAUUGUUAAAUAAAUCCAUAUUUAGUUUGCAUGAAUUAAGAUGUGUAAUCCAAGUCUUGUGAAGAGAUAGGAUCGCUUUAUAUGAUGAACAGAUUAUGGGUUUAAAGAGUGAGCCAAUGAUGACAAUUUUCUGUUUUGGGUGAACUAUCCCUUUACAGUAAGUCAUCUGACAAAUACAUAAUUUAUUUUUUACAAUGAUUCAAACCAAAGGCUCAGAGAUUUGAGAGUCUGUUUAACUGAUUCAAAAGAA
ensembl:lncRNA